UACGAAGGGGGCUAGCGUUGUUCGGAAUUACUGGGCGUAAAGGGCGCGUAGGCGGUGUGUCAAGUCAGGCGUGAAAGCCCCGGGCUCAACCUGGGAACAGCGCUUGAGACUGGCACGCUCGAGUUCGGGAGAGGAUGGUGGAAUUCCCAGUGUAGCGGUGAAAUGCGCAGAUAUCAGGAGGAACACCGGUGGCGAAGGCGGGUCUCUGGGCCGAAACUGACGCUGAGGAGCGAAAGCGUGGGGAGCAAACAGG
rnacentral:rRNA from 1 species